AUGCCAUAGAGGAGACUUGCUGAUGUUUCUUUCCCAUAAAACGGUAAAAACUGAUAUACUUUGGAGUAUGUUUUAUACAAAUGUAAUUUGUUUUCGUAUAUUGCUAAAAAAAAUUAAAAAAUGGAAAAAAGAUGUACGUAGCAAUCUUCUUCUUCAUUCUCCCUACCUUGUGUUUGAGCUUUGAUCUUGUUUCUGAAUGAAUUUGAAAUUGAAAAUUGAAACUGAAAUCGGAUCUGAUCUGUUUGUAAUUUCAGGGUCAGGGCGAGCCUCAUGCGGAAUCUGCGAAGGCCUCGGAGGAUGAUGCUAAGAAAAAUCUCUGGGUUAAGAUAUGUGUUACCGGAUACGACACUUGGCUUCCUGACAUUGAAAUCUGCGAUGCCCUUUGUGAAUAUAGUUAGCUUUACAGUUGAGAAUAAACCAACUAAUCUAACCAAACCACUAAACCGAGAUAACCGAUGGAGGUGAAGACAAGGCGUUGCAACUUAAUGGAAGUGAAUUGAGUGGAUGGAAUCUUGCUGUUAAGGUGGUUUCAACUACAAGACCAUCCACAGAGCUUACUCCCAAGCAAUUGGCUCUUAUAGAAGAAACUUAAGUAUGACAAAACAUUCUGGUAUGGCAUUGGCAUUAUGCGCUAUAAGAUAAUGCAGAGUGAAAGUGAUCUCAAGAGACACGAUUUCUCUUCCUGUGGAGUGAUCACAGAUGUUAUUACUCCCAGAGACUCUCAAG